UCAAGUCAAGUAUUAGGUCAAGUAUUUUAAAGCAAAACUAUUUUAUUAUGGAACUGCUUUGUGCUCAAUGUACUAUUUUAUCGGGUUAAAGUAGUCAUUUCAAUUUGGUUGAAAAUAAUAUUGGAGGAACUGCAUUGCACACGAAGACAGCUUUGGUGCAGAUUGAAAAUUCAAACUCUACACAGAGCCCAUCACAAUGGAUUGUUUGAUCCUGGUUCAACUGCCAAUUCAAAAAUGCAAGAAUAUUCAUUCCGACUACUUUACUAGAAAUCUCUCUAGAAACAUUUAAUCAGGUGUCCUUUCAACUUCUGCUGCUCUGCACACUAACUCCUUCACCAGGAACAUUUAAUCAGGUCCUUUCAACUUCUGCUGCUCUGCACACUAACUCCUUCACCAGGAACAUUUAAUCAGAUUUUCUCAAUUCAACUAUCACUGCCCUGAUGCUCAAAACAUCAUGAGUUUGGAAUGCUCAUCCAUGUAAAUGAUUCGCAAGUUGUUUUUUUUAAUGACUGCCUAUAAUUAUGCAUGAUUAACUUAACUCUUACUAAAUCACUAACACGACUAACCUCACUAACUUAAUCAGUUAUUAUAAAAACCACUUGUUGAGUUUUACAAUGAAUGUCUUGCUGAGAUUGCUUGAAAGACAUCGCUGCAUGAUUAAUCAGGGUAAGCGACAACUUCAAGCCAAGUAGUCUUCAACUCUCAACUUACUCUUGUCUUGAUCAAGACUUAUUCUCCAG